AUUGAACGCUGGCGGCAGGCUUAACACAUGCAAGUCGAGCGGAAACGAUGUAGCUUGCUACAGGCGUCGAGCGGCGGACGGGUGAGUAACGCGUAGGAAUCUGCCUAGUAGUGGGGGACAACAUGUGGAAACGCAUGCUAAUACCGCAUACGCCCUACGGGGGAAAGGAGGGGAUCUUCGGACCUUUCGCUAUUAGAUGAGCCUGCGUAAGAUUAGCUAGUUGGUAGGGUAAAGGCCUACCAAGGCGACGAUCUUUAACUGGUCUGAGAGGAUGGCCAGUCACACUGGGACUGAGACACGGCCCAGACUCCUACGGGAGGCAGCAGUGGGGAAUAUUGGACAAUGGGCGCAAGCCUGAUCCAGCCACGCCGCGUGUGUGAAGAAGGCCUUAGGGUUGUAAAGCACUUUCAGGGGUGAGGAAGGGUGUUUGGUUAAUAUCCAAACAUUUUGACGUUAGCCCCAGAAGAAGCACCGGCUAACUCUGUG
rnacentral:rRNA from 1 species